rnacentral:rRNA from 1 species
CAGAGGGUGCGAGCGUUAAUCGGAAUUACUGGGCGUAAAGCGCGCGUAGGCGGCUUUGCAAGUCGGGUGUGAAAUCCCCAGGCUUAACCUGGGAACUGCAUUCGAGACUGCAUUGCUAGAGUAUGGGAGAGGGAAGUGGAAUUUCAGGUGUAGCGGUGAAAUGCGUAGAUAUCUGAAGGAACAUCAGUGGCGAAAGCGACUUCCUGGACCAAUACUGACGCUCAUGUGCGAAAGCGUGGGGAGCAAACAGGAUUAGAUACCCUGGUAGUCCACGCCAUAAACGAUGAGAACUGGAUGUCGGGAGGGUCUGCCUCUCGGUGUCGUAGCUAACGCGUUAAGUUCUCCGCCUGGGGAGUACGGCCGCAAGGUUG